rnacentral:misc_RNA from 1 species
AAAUUUGAUAUGUUUUAAUUAUAAAAACACCAAAAUAAUAAAACGAAAUUUUUUCAAACUGUUUUUUUUCAUAAUCAUCUACAAUGAUUUUUUAUUUUUCUGAGAAGCUUUUUUCUUGGCCAUGAACCUCGCUGUCAACCGGAAUGACUCACAUGGGACUGCUUCAGCUUUAGCAAAAUGGAACUGUCAAAUUCAAUAAGAUGGAUUAACUGCAUCAAAACAUUUCCUAAGAUAAUUUAUGGCUAAAUAUAUUCAACCCUGUUUUCAAGCAUCCAUGAAUUUGGGGAAGAGGGCUAGGUUUAUUCUUUGAAAGAGGAACAUCUCAGAUGCCCAACAAUCAAAAAUGGAAAACUACAAACAAUAGAAAGGGCAUAAGAAAUGAAGAACGCACAUUCAGCGCAAAAGACGGGCACAAAUAAAGAAACAGAAGCACAGAAAAUAAUUAAAUGACUCUAUCGGAUGCUUAGUUAUAAAAGGUGUAUGAUGCAAUGCACAAAAGGCCCGAGCCUUGUGCCUCAACCCACUAAAGAUGGGGUGCAUGGUACGUGAAAGGUGCAUCUCAACAAUUUUUUUUUUUUAAUGUUCUUCCAUUCUUUUACUAUUGUUAUUCCUGCCCAUUUCUACCCCUUUUUUUCACUUCUAUUCCAGCCCACGCCCCUCUACUAUUCUCAGUCCCCUUCUUUUUUUUAAAGGAAAAAAAAUAUUUGGACCACUCUUUAAUGAUCCUUUUUCACCCUUUUUUCUUUUCUUCACCUUGCCUUUUGUUAUAGAUGCUUUGGUUGUUGAUUAAUAUCUUAGGUCACAUGAAUGCACACUAGUUAAUUUGUUUGUUAGACAGAAAGAAUUGCAAAUAGGGAAAAAAAAGUUACUUUUAAUUCUGAAAUUAGCGAAAAAAUUUAUUUAAAUUCUAUAAUUGGGGAAAAAAAAAGAAGAAAAGAAAGAUAACUAAGAAAUUAGAACAGCAUGUAUAUGAAUAGUAUUAUGACUCACAUUUUUUUUCUUUUAUUUUUUUUACAUGUGUUUCUAUAGUGAAUUUAUGUGAACUCUUGGAUUUCAAAAGCAAUGCUACUAUAAUUCUAAAGUUUCUGUGUUAUUAACAUGGGUAGUUGUCUUACAUAUGAAUAAUUUUCUUAUUUUAUUUGUUUUGAGCCUCCCCUCUCUCAAACAAGUGCACGCAACUUGUGCCUCUAGUUACUAUGAUUGGAUGUUCAAUAUAAAAUACAAAUAUUAGAAAAGGAAUGCUUCAAGCACCAAGAAACUACCUGUGAAUUCUGAA